AUUGAACGCUGGCGGCGUGCCUAACACAUGCAAGUCGAGCGGUAACAGGUGUAGCAAUACAUGCUGACGAGCGGCGGACGGGUGAGUAACGCUUGGGAAUCUGCCUAUUAGUGGGGGACAACCCGGGGAAACUCGGGCUAAUACCGCAUACGCACUACGGUGGAAAGCCCGGGGACCGCAAGGCCUGGCGCUAACAGAUGAGCCCAAGUCGGAUUAGCUAGUUGGUAGGUAACGGCCACCAAGGCGACGAUCCGUAACUGGUCUGAGAGGACGACCAGUCACACCGGAACUGAGACACGGUCCGGACUCCUACGGGAGGCAGCAGUGGGGAAUAUUGGACAAUGGGCGAAAGCCUGAUCCAGCGACGCCGCGUGGGUGAAGAAGGCCUGCGGGUUGUAAAGCCCUUUCAGUGGGGAAGAAAAGCCUCGAGCUAAUAUCUCGGGGUCUUGACGUAACCCAUAGAAGAAGCACCGGCUAACUCUGUGCC
rnacentral:rRNA from 1 species